AACGUAGGUGGCAAGCGUUAUCCGGAAUUACUGGGCGUAAAUGGUGUGCAGGCGGGGUUGCAAGUGGGGUAUGAAAUAUCCCAGCUUAACUGGGAGGGGUUAUGCCAGACUGCAACUCUAGAGGACGAGAGAGGGGGGUGGAAUUCCGGGUGUAGUGGUGAAAUGCGUAGAGAUCCGGAGGAACCCCAGAGGCGAAGGCGGCCCCCUGGCUCGUACCUGACGCUCAGCCACGAAAGCAUGGGGAGCGAACGGG
rnacentral:rRNA from 1 species